UUCAUUUCAUUACAUAGAGGUUUGUGUCUGAGGAGCCCGACGUCUCAACACAAGCUGAGUGGCCUACCUGGAGGUGUUGCACUGUUGCG